rnacentral:rRNA from 1 species
UACGAAGGGGGCUAGCGUUGCUCGGAAUCACUGGGCGUAAAGCGCACGUAGGCGGCUUUUUAAGUCAGAGGUGAAAUCCUGGAGCUCAACUCCAGAACUGCCUUUGAUACUGGAGAACUUGAGUCCGGGAGAGGUGAGUGGAACUGCGAGUGUAGAGGUGAAAUUCGUAGAUAUUCGCAAGAACACCAGUGGCGAAGGCGGCUCACUGGCCCGGUACUGACGCUGAGGUGCGAAAGCGUGGGGAGCAAACAGG